rnacentral:lncRNA from 1 species
GGUUUCAGAAAGCGUGACCGAAGGUUUCAGAAAGCGUGACCGAAGGUUUCAGAAAGCGUGACCGAAGGUUUCA